ACUCUCUUCUAUCUAGAGAUUCUUUCCUUUUCUAAUACCAUAAGAUCCUGUGGAGUUUGCCUUCCUCAGACAAGAUAUUCCAUCUCCUAAUGCAAAGGCUAAUUUUCAACUUCCAAACAAGUGUUCUGAAGCACUUAAAGGGUCUCCAGCUUUGAAGAAGUUGGCAGCUUCAAACCCUUACAGACUUUGGCUAAGAAAAUGUAUAAACAUGACAAGCCCCAGAAUUCUGAGCAAGGAUACAACCACUUCCUCCACCUGCAGUUCCUUUUUCCAGACUCUAAAUCAUGAAAUUCCAACAACAUGGUCAACCUGAAAUCACCUGAUAACCUGAUUCUGACAUUCAGCACUGGACGCUGCUGGUGCCGCUGCAAGUUGCUUGUCUCCCUUCUCAGUCUAGACCCCCACUGGGCAAGGAUAGCUCUAAGACCCUUUUCAUCCUGAAGCAGCUCUAGAAGAUGAGACCUCUAUCCCUUUGUUCCAAAUUAUUUUGGGUAUAACUGCUUGAAGGGGAAAAAAUUAUAUAACAUGAUUUUGUGGUCCCUGACCUUGUGGAGCUUCUGUUUUGAUGCGUCAGUAGUCCUAGGUCUUUUCUAGCUUUAGAAUCUGCCUCAGAAAACUCACACACCCAAGUUAUCUGAUUCUGACCACUCCUUAGCCAGAUAAUUUCUGGUCUCAGGAAGCUCCCACAGAUCAAAACUCCUGAGACAAUAGUGAAUAAAACCACUUUAAUAUAUUGCUGACUGGUAAUCUUGUCAGUAAUAAUCUGAUCAACCAAGAAGCUCUCCUUCCAGAGACUAGUUCUUCCUACUGUGAGCCAUAGAAUUUGCAUAUUUAUGAUUGAAAGCUGUGUAAGUGUAUCUCCUUGCUUCUGUUUUUUACUGGAUUCCUUUAGAAUUCAGUCUGCUUUGUAAUGGCAUUAUAUUGCAAUAAAGCUUUGCCCCUUGACUAGGAAAAAAAAAAAAAAAGAAAAGAAAAGAAAAGAAUAUGAUUUCAAAGGGAACUCAUUAACCAAUUUUGAUCUUAAAAUGACAUGUAAAGAAGAUGGAAUUAAGGUUAGGUUUUUUUCUUGGUGUAAGAGGAACAAAACUAAGAUUAUUGCUAAUCCUGUCUUGAACCAGCCCUGAAAGCAAAAGAUGAAGAGUUACAUUUCUUGGUAACCACACUCCCUGACUAGACAUUCAUCCUAUCCAAGGAAAUUUUUCUCUACAAUAAUCAUGCAAAUCAAAAUCACCCUUAUUUAUGUCAUACCACCAGGGAAAGAUCAGGAAGCCACUAUCAGAUGGGCUUUCAAGUAUGAGUGCUUACAGAUCUUGGUGAGCACUA